UACGUAGGGUGCGAGCGUUAAUCGGAAUUACUGGGCGUAAAGCGUGCGCAGGCGGUUUUGUAAGGCAGGUGUGAAAUCCCCGGGCUCAACCUGGGAAUGGCAUUUGGGACUGCAAGGCUGGAGUGUGGCAGAGGAGACUGGAAUUCCUGGUGUAGCAGUGAAAUGCGUAGAUAUCAGGAGGAAUACCGAUGGCGAAGGCAGGUCUCUGGGCUGACACUGACGCUCAUGCACGAAAGCGUGGGGAGCAAACAGG
rnacentral:rRNA from 1 species